rnacentral:misc_RNA from 1 species
GAUGAAGAACGCAGUGAAAUGCGAUAAGUAGUGUGAAUUGCAGAAUUCAGUGAAUCAUCGAAUCUUUGAACGCACAUUGCGCCCGCCAGUAUUCUGGCGGGCAUGCCUGUCUGAGCGUCAUUUCAACCCUCAUGCCCCUAGGGCGUGGUGUUGGGGAUCGGCCAAAGCCCGCGAGGGACGGCCGGCCCCUAAAUCUAGUGGCGGACCCGUCGUGGCCUCCUCUGCGAAGUAGUGAUAUUCCGCAUCGGAGAGCGAUGAGCCCCUGCCGUUAAACCCCCAACUUUCCAAGGUUGACCUCAGAUCAGGUAGGAAUACCCGCUGAACUUAAGCAUAUCAAUAAGCGGAGGA